GAAUGAACGCUGGCGGCGUGCCUAACACAUGCAAGUCGGAUGUGCCGCAAGGUGCAUGGCAGACGGGUGAGUAACGCGUGGGGAAUCUACCUCUUUGUGGGGAAUAACGCUCCGAAAGGAGUGGUAAUACCGCAUGAGACCGUGAGCUGGGACGCUCAUGGUGAGACCUGGGGACCGCAAGGCCUGGGGCAAGGAGAGGAUCCUGCGUCUGAUUAGCUAGUUGGCGGGGUAAUGGCCCACCAAGGCGACGAUCAGUAGCCGGCCUGAGAGGGUGAUCGGCCACACUGGAACUGAGACACGGUCCAGACUCCUACGGGAGGCAGCAGUGGGGAAUUUUGCGCAAUGGGCGAAAGCCUGACGCAGCAACGCCGCGUGGGUGAUGAAGGUCUUCGGACUGUAAAACCCUGUCGUCAGGGACGAAGGUGGCAGUGUGAAUAGCGCUGUUACUUGACGGUACCUGGAGAGGAAGCCCCGGCUAACUCUGUGCCAGCAGCCGCGGUAAUACAGAGGGGGCAAGCGUUAUUCGGAAUUAUUGGGCGUAAAGGGCGCGUAGGCGGUUUUUUAAGUCAGAUGUGUAAUCCCCGAGCUUAACUUGGGAACUGCAUCUGAGACUGGAAGGCUAGAGUACUGGAGAGGGUGGUGGAAUUCCUCGUGUAGCGGUGAAAUGCGUAGAGAUGAGGAGGAACACCAGUGGCGAAGGCGGCCACCUGGACAGUAACUGACGCUGAGGCGCGAAAGUGUGGGUAGCAAGCAGGAUUAGAUACCCUGGUAGUCCACGCUGUAAACGAUGAACACUUGGUGUGGAGGGAGUUGACCCCUUCCGUGCCGGAGCUAACGCGUUAAGUGUUCCGCCUGGGGAGUACGGUCGCAAGGCUGAAACUCAAAG
rnacentral:rRNA from 1 species